UAAGGAAUAUUGGUCAAUGGACGCAAGUCUGAACCAGCCAUGCCGCGUGGAGGAUUAAGGCCCUCUGGGUUGUAAACUCCUUUUAUCUGGGAAGAAAUGUACUUUUUCUUGAGUACUUGACGGUACCAGAGGAAUAAGCACCGGCUAACUCCGUGCCAGCAGCCGCGGUAAUACGGAGGGUGCAAGCGUUAUCCGGAUUCACUGGGUUUAAAGGGUGCGUAGGUGGGCAGGUAAGUCAGUGGUGAAAUCUCCGGGCUUAACCGGGGAAGUGCGUUCGAAACUGGGAGACUUGAGUCCUGGAGAGGGUGGCGGAAUUCCGGGUGUAGGAGUGAAAUCCGUAGAUAUCCGGAGGAACACCGGUGGCGAAGGCGGCCACCUGGACAGGUACUGACGCUGAGGCGCGAAAGCGUGGGGAGCAAACA
rnacentral:rRNA from 1 species